GAGUUUGAUCCUGGCUCAGGACGAACGCUGGCGGCGUGCUUAACACAUGCAAGUCGAACGGUAAGGCUCCAGCUUGCUGGGGUACACGAGUGGCGAACGGGUGAGUAACACGUGGGUGACCUGCCCUGCACUUCGGGAUAAGCCUGGGAAACUGGGUCUAAUACCGGAUAGGACCAUGGUGUGGAUGCUGUGGUGGAAAGUUUUUUCGGUGUGGGAUGGGCCCGCGGCCUAUCAGCUUGUUGGUGGGGUAAUGGCCUACCAAGGCGGCGACGGGUAGCCGGCCUGAGAGGGUGGACGGCCACAUUGGGACUGAGACACGGCCCAGACUCCUACGGGAGGCAGCAGUGGGGAAUAUUGCACAAUGGGCGGAAGCUGGAUGCAGCGACGCGGCGUGGGGGAUGACGGCCUUCGGGUUGUAAACUCCUUUCACCAUCGACGAAGGGUUUCUGACGGUAGAUGGAGAAGAAGCACCGGCUAACUACGUGCCAGCAGCCGCGGUAAUACGUAGGGUGCGAGCGUUGUCCGGAAUUACUGGGCGUAAAGAGCUCGUAGGUGGUUUGUCGCGUCGUCUGUGAAAUUCCGGGGCUUAACUCCGGGCGUGCAGGCGAUACGGGCAUAACUUGAGUACUGUAGGGGAGACUGGAAUUCCUGGUGUAGCGGUGAAAUGCGCAGAUAUCAGGAGGAACACCGGUGGCGAAGGCGGGUCUCUGGGCAGUAACUGACGCUGAGGAGCGAAAGCAUGGGGAGCGAACAGGAUUAGAUACCCUGGUAGUCCAUGCCGUAAACGGUGGGCGCUAGGUGUGGGUUUCCUUCCACGGGAUCCGUGCCGUAGCUAACGCAUUAAGCGCCCCGCCUGGGGAGUACGGCCGCAAGGCUAAAACUCAAAGGAAUUGACGG
rnacentral:rRNA from 1 species